UACAGAGGGUGCAAGCGUUGUUCGGAAUUAUUGGGCGUAAAGCGCGUGUAGGCGGCUUUGCAAGUCGGGUGUGAAAGCCCUCAGCUCAACUGAGGAAGUGCGCCCGAAACUGCAGAGCUUGAGUGCCGGAGAGGGUGGCGGAAUUCCCCAAGUAGAGGUGAAAUUCGUAGAUAUGGGGAGGAACACCGGUGGCGAAGGCGGCCACAUGGACGGUCACUGACGCUGCGACGCGAAAGCGUGGGUAGCAAACAGG
rnacentral:rRNA from 1 species